rnacentral:rRNA from 1 species
GAUGAACGCUGGCGGCGUGCCUAAUACAUGCAAGUCGAGCGAACGGACGAGAAGCUUGCUUUUCUGAUGUUAGCGGCGGACGGGUGAGUAACACGUGGAUAACCUACCUAUAAGACUGGGAUAACUUCGGGAAACCGGAGCUAAUACCGGAUAAUAUUUUGAACCGCAUGGUUCAAAAGUGAAAGACGGUCUUGCUGUCACUUAUAGAUGGAUCCGCGCUGCAUUAGCUAGUUGGUAAGGUAACGGCUUACCAAGGCAACGAUGCAUAGCCGACCUGAGAGGGUGAUCGGCCACACUGGAACUGAGACACGGUCCAGACUCCUACGGGAGGCAGCAGUAGGGAAUCUUCCGCAAUGGGCGAAAGCCUGACGGAGCAACGCCGCGUGAGUGAUGAAGGUCUUCGGAUCGUAAAACUCUGUUAUUAGGGAAGAACAUAUGUGUAAGUAACUGUGCACAUCUUGACGGUACCUAACCAGAAAGCCACGGCUAACUACGUGCCAGCAGCCGCGGUAAUACGUAGGUGGCAAGCGUUAUCCGGAAUUAUUGGGCGUAAAGCGCGCGUAGGCGGUUUUUUAAGUCUGAUGUGAAAGCCCACGGCUCAACCGUGGAGGGUCAUUGGAAACUGGAAAACUUGAGUGCAGAAGAGGAAAGUGGAAUUCCAUGUGUAGCGGUGAAAUGCGCAGAGAUAUGGAGGAACACCAGUGGCGAAGGCGACUUUCUGGUCUGUAACUGACGCUGAUGUGCGAAAGCGUGGGGAUCAAACAGGAUUAGAUACCCUGGUAGUCCACGCCGUAAACGAUGAGUGCUAAGUGUUAGGGGGUUUCCGCCCCUUAGUGCUGCAGCUAACGCAUUAAGCACUCCGCCUGGGGAGUACGACCGCAAGGUUGAAACUCAAAGGAAUUGACGGGGACCCGCACAAGCGGUGGAGCAUGUGGUUUAAUUCGAAGCAACGCGAAGAACCUUACCAAAUCUUGACAUCCUUUGACAACUCUAGAGAUAGAGCCUUCCCCUUCGGGGGACAAAGUGACAGGUGGUGCAUGGUUGUCGUCAGCUCGUGUCGUGAGAUGUUGGGUUAAGUCCCGCAACGAGCGCAACCCUUAAGCUUAGUUGCCAUCAUUAAGUUGGGCACUCUAAGUUGACUGCCGGUGACAAACCGGAGGAAGGUGGGGAUGACGUCAAAUCAUCAUGCCCCUUAUGAUUUGGGCUACACACGUGCUACAAUGGACAAUACAAAGGGCAGCGAAACCGCGAGGUCAAGCAAAUCCCAUAAAGUUGUUCUCAGUUCGGAUUGUAGUCUGCAACUCGACUACAUGAAGCUGGAAUCGCUAGUAAUCGUAGAUCAGCAUGCUACGGUGAAUACGUUCCCGGGUCU